ACAGAACACAUCAUGACUGACUAAAGGAAAUAGGGGAUAUGGAGCAAAAAGAGAGCCGAGCGAGAUGAAACAUAGAAAAAAGCCAGAUGAAGGACGGAGGAUGUUGCUAGUGAUGCAGGAGGUGGGGGCGAUAGUGACAACAGGAGGACUGGAGGGAAGGCUGGAUCCCCCACCUGGGGUCAGGAGCAACCCGGAGGAACCCCUGCUAGGAGUGAUGACUGGAGAACUAAGACUGGUGGCAGGAGAAGAGACUGGAGACUGACUAGUGGGAGAACAACCUAGGCAUGAGUGGAGAGGGAAAAGGAGAGGGAGGGGUGGAGAGGGAAGAGGAGAGGGAGGAGCAGAGGGAGAGAGGGAAGGGGAGAAAGAGGGAGAGAGGGAGAACAGCAAGACAGAGAAGCCACCAGAAAGCCAUUACUGUAAAAACAAGACAUCUUACAAAUCAACAGACACACUCUCAAAAAAGCAGCUAAUGGUGCUCCUCCGAGAGGCACAGAGACAGAAAGGUAAAUGAGAGAGUGUGCAGGGGGAUAAAGGAAGUGAUGCCAGAAAAACUAAUGGAAGAGUGGAGUGGAAGAAAGAAGUGGAAGAAAGAAGUGGAAGAGAGAAGUGGAAGAGAGAUGGAGAGUGUAAUUGCAGGUAAUUACCUCCAUUAGGAACUAGCCCAACACACACCUACGCAUGUGCGUGCACACACAUAUAAACACGCACACGUGUGCAUUCAUACAGGAAUGUCACGUCAGGUCAAUGUAAAAGAAAGGGAAGAGCAUGCUGACGGCUGUUUAUGAUGGAUUUUGUAUUCAGCAGAUGUUAUUGCUCCCCUUAGUUAUAAGGUGGGGUCAUUAGUCUCACCUUUGGGGUCCUCAGCCUGUUUGGCCAGUUGACGAAGGGCAGCAGCAAAUCCAGAGUGAGCAGACUGAGCAGCCGCACUCCCAUUGGCUAGUGGGGUGAGAGGGCAGACCGUCGCCGUGGUUCGAGUUGCUGUGGAGAUCAUUCCUAAUGACAGAGACCUUGACUCAUGGCUCAUACCUGAAGAGAUACAGAGGGAGGAAUGGAAGAACAAAACAGAAUGAAAUGAUAUGCAUAAUAAAACAUUAUCUGUGUUUUAAAGACGGAGUGAGG
rnacentral:lncRNA from 1 species